rnacentral:rRNA from 1 species
UACAGAGGGUGCAGCGUUGUUCGGAAUUAUUGGGCGUAAAGGGUGCGUAGGCGGUUGCGGUAAGUCUGUAGUGAAAUCUCUGGGCUCAACUCGAGAGUCUGCUAUAGAAACUGCCGUGCUCGGAGUGUGGGAGAGGUGAGUGGGAAAUUCCCGGUGUAGCGGUGAAAUGCGUAGAUAUCGGGAAGGAACACCUGUGGCGGAAAGCGGCUCACCUG